rnacentral:rRNA from 1 species
GUUGUCGUCAGCUCGUGUCGUGAGAUGUUGGGUUAAGUCCCGCAACGAGCGCAACCCUCGCCUCUAGUUGCCAGCAUUCGGUUGGGCACUCUAGAGGGACUGCCGGCGACAAGUCGGAGAAGUGGGGAUGACGUCAAAUCAUCAUGCCCCUUAUGACCUGGGCUACACACGUGCUACAAUGGGCGGUACAAAGGGCUGCGAACCCGCGAGGGGGAGCGAAUCCCAAAAGGCCGCUCUCAGUUCGGAUUGCAGGCUGCAACUCGCCUGCAUGAAGCCGGAAUCGCUAGUAAUCGCGGAUCAGCAUGCCGCGGUGAAUACGUUCCCGGGCCUU